rnacentral:tRNA from 1 species
GUGGGUAUAGCUCAGUUGGUUAGAGCGCCAGGUUGUGGCCCUGGAGGUCGACGGUUCGAAUCCGUCUAUCCACCCCA